CGCCCGCCGCGCGCGGCGGGCGGGGCGGGGGCACGGGGGGGUGAAGAAGUAUUUCGGUAUGUAAAGCUCUAUCAGCAGGGAAGAUAAUGACGGUACCUGACUAAGAAGCACCGGCUAAAUACGUGCCAGCAGCCGCGGUAAUACGUAUGGUGCAAGCGUUAUCCGGAUUUACUGGGUGUAAAGGGAGCGUAGGCGGUUUUACAAGUCUGAUGUGAAAGCCCGGGGCUCAACUCCGGUAUUGCAUUGGAAACUGUAGAACUAGAGUGUCGGAGGGGUAAGUGGAAUUCCUAGUGUAGCGGUGAAAUGCGUAGAUAUUAGGAGGAACACCAGUGGCGAAGGCGGCUUACUGGACGAUUACUGACGCUGAGGCUCGAAAGCGUGGGGAGCAAACAGGAUUAGAUACCCUGGUAGUCCACGCGGUAAACGAUGAAUACUAGGUGUUGG
rnacentral:rRNA from 1 species